GGCCAACUCGCGCUCCCCGCAGACCCGUGUUCACCGCGUUGACAGCGACGACCCUCAGUGCCUUUAAUCCACUGCUCGACUGUGGCCCUUCCCUGGAUGUUGACACACUGUGAGAUGACAAUAAAACUGAAGUUGAGGAAACUAGCUGUGCUGAAAGGAUUUUUCUACCAGACCAUCUGCAUUUGGAUUCAGCAGCAGAUGGAAAAUCUGCCGUGGAGUCGAGUCGAGUCCCAGACGUCCUGUAGUUUUGUGUAAUUAUCCGUGCCCUGCAGUCUGAAGAGCAUGAG